CUGGUGUCAGCCGCCGCGGUAAUACCAGCACCCCGAGUGGUCGGGACGAUUAUUGGGCCUAAAGCAUCCGUAGCCGGUUCUACAAGUCUUCCGUUAAAUCCACCUGCUCAACAGAUGGGCUGCGGAGGAUACUAUAGAGCUAGGAGGCGGGAGAGGCAAGCGGUACUUAGUGGGUAGGGGUAAAAUCCGUUGAUCCAUUGAAGACCACCAGUGGCGAAGGCGGCUUGCCAGAACGCACUCGACGGUGAGGGAUGAAAGCUGGGGGAGCAAACCGGAUUAGAUACCCGGGCAGUCCCAGCUGUAAACGAUGCAGACUCGGUGAUGAAUAGGCUUCGUGCCUAUUCAGUGCCGCAGGGAAGCCGUUAAGUCUGCCGCCUGGGGAGUACGGUCGCAAGACUGAAACUUAAAG
rnacentral:rRNA from 2 species